GUGCUGUAAUGAAACAGAUAGGUUCCAAAUAUCCCUUUGCUAGUUAGGUUCCAAAUAUCCCAGUGCUGUAAUGAAAGCUAGUUACUAAUUGUUUCCCUUUGCUAGUUAGGUUCCAAAUAUCCGUUCAACAGCAACAAUUGUGUUUUUAACUUGCACGGUUUUCUUGUCUUUGUUCAUCACUAUGAAAUGAUUUAUACCAAAAGGCUAGGGAAUUAUUGAAAAAUAGCAUUGUGAAAAGACGUUGGUUGGUUAGUUUAGAAACUGGGUGGAAGUUGUACUCAGGCUUUGUCCCACAAAGAGAAUAUUGGAUGAAAAUUUGACAGCAUUAGAUGGCAAGUACUGAGCCAUGUCCCACGAACAUAUUGAUAUACUAAUAUAUCAGGCGGGGAUAACACAUUUCGUCCAUGUUCAAAGAUAAAGAGAAGUAUAUGUACGUUGUCUUUAUUGUUGCUGCUGUAAUUCUCUAUUGUUUAGAUCCCUGAGGUUGCAUCAUGACCAAUAUGAAGAUAUUUUGUCAGGUGCAAAAGAACAAGAAUGGAUAUCAUUUCACUUGCAAACACAUUAUUUGUAUGAUGGGAAGAGUUGUUAGACAUGAAGAACAGCAGGAAGUAAGUGAUUCUUACUGGUAUAACUUGAGGAGGAGUUCCUUCAGUGCUG
rnacentral:lncRNA from 1 species